UACGUAGGGGGCAAGCGUUGUCCGGAAUCAUUGGGCGUAAAGCGCGUGUAGGCGGCCUUGCAAGACAGAUGUGAAAUCCCCAGGCUUAACCUGGGAACUGCAUUCGAGACUGCAUUGCUAGAGUAUGGGAGAGGGAAGUGGAAUUUCCGGUGUAGCGGUGAAAUGCGUAGAUAUCGGAAGGAACAUCAGUGGCGAAAGCGACUUCCUGGACCAAUACUGACGCUCAUGUGCGAAAGCGUGGGGAGCAAACAGG
rnacentral:rRNA from 1 species